UGCAAGUCGAACGGUAGAGGGGGCAACCCCUCGAGAGUGGCGAACGGGUGAGUAAUAUAUCGGAACGUGCCCAGUCGUGGGGGAUAACGUAGCGAAAGUUACGCUAAUACCGCAUACGAUCUAAGGAUGAAAGCGGGGGACCGUAAGGCCUCGCGCGAUUGGAGCGGCCGAUAUCAGAUUAGGUAGUUGGUGAGGUAAAGGCUCACCAAGCCAACGAUCUGUAGCUGGUCUGAGAGGACGACCAGCCACACUGGAACUGAGACACGGUCCAGACUCCUACGGGAGGCAGCAGUGGGGAAUUUUGGACAAUGGACGCAAGUCUGAUCCAGCCAUUCCGCGUGCAGGAUGAAGGCCCUCGGGUUGUAAACUGCUUUUGUACGGAACGAAAAGGUCUCUCCUAAUACGAGGGGCUCGUGACGGUACCGUAAGAAUAAGCACCGGCUAACUACGUGCCAGCAGCCGCGGUAAUACGUAGGGUGCAAGCGUUAAUCGGAAUUACUGGGCGUAAAGCGUGCGCAGGCGGUUAUAUAAGACAGAUGUGAAAUCCCCGGGCUCAACCUGGGAACUGCAUUUGUGACUGUAUAGCUAGAGUACGGUAGAGGGGGAUGGAAUUCCGCGUGUAGCAGUGAAAUGCGUAGAUAUGCGGAGGAACACCGAUGGCGAAAGCAAUCCCCUGGACCUGUACUGACGCUCAUGCACG
rnacentral:rRNA from 1 species